GGAGUUGUGGCUCAGUGGUAGAGAACUCACCUAACGUGUAAGGCACUGGGUUCAAUUCUCAGCACUACA
rnacentral:tRNA from 1 species